CGGGAGUGCUGCUUCAUGCCAAGUUUAUAAACAGAGCAGUGUUUCCAGAUGGCCACUGGCUCCAGCCUGGCUAGCAGCCACCAGUGCUACCACCAGCAGACCUUCAAGCUCUUGAAUCAGGACUGGGAGUCAGGACACAGAGGAGAGAGAGAGGAGGAGGAGGAAUGAUGAAAGAAGGCACGAGUGACUUCCUUGACCGAAGAAAUGGCAAGGAAGAAUUGACAUCAAUUGAACUCUACCUAAAUGCUGCUGUGAUAUCAUGGGCAGCACAGCGAAGCCCUAAGACGAGCCACUGAUGUCUGUAAUCCAUUAUAAUAGUAAUACUCCAUCUAAAUCAUAGAGCCGAAAAGGUCUAACAGAGCAACGUGUUCAUCUGUCUGCCAGAGGACUGCCCAAGUUCUGAAACUUCACAAUUCAAAGGAGAGAAAAUAAUAGUGAUUAAUGAACAAAGAACAAUGUAGUUACUGCAGUGGAGAUGAUCUCUGAAAUUAAGGAGAAUUUAGCAGCUAAAUAAAGUGGAAAUUAGUAACUGCAUCUUUAUUAUUAUGCAAAGGCAAGUAUUAACUGUGUAAUUUAAAUAGGUCCAUUAUGUAACAUUUUUUUCUAAUUAAUUUCUGAUCUGCUAAACUAAUCUCUGUUAUUUAGGGGAGCUGAAAAUUAAUUAAAUGGAUGAAAAAUGCAGCUAAAAGCCAGGAUUAUUUAAGGAAUGGAGAACAAUAGGAAAGCAUGACAAGGAAAGAUCAGCCAUUUGACAGUGAAGCAACAUCCUGAGCCUGAAGCACAAUACUAUUGAGUAAGCAUCUGAGAAGAUGUUUUAUUUCUUCACCCAGGAUGCAUCCUCUUUCCUCUUUUGCCUCCCCUCCUAGCAGUGCAGUUUGACUUGGUGUUAACCUAGAGAAGGUUUACUUGGGGUUUCCUAGACUGAAAAAUAAUUCCAUUUGUUAGAUCUGUAAUUCCACAUUUAUAGUGUAUACUGGAAGUCCCAGUUCCAUUCCACCUAAAUAUGAACGCUGAAUGGAGGCAGCUACCCACAGACCGUAGGACCUCUAAAUGCUCUUUACAGUAAAGAGAGAGAGAGAUACACUCCAGCAGCUGAAAUUCAAAGAACCAAAAUACGGCUCACCUUCUGGAGAUCUCUCAUCCUUCAAUGAUUGUAAGGAGAACCUGAAAUAGGUACUCCCUUAACACAGGUGGCUAAAGUUAGGUGGGAUGAUUCCCAUCCAACUUUACAUGGUCUUGUGCUUUUAUAACUCCUCCUCUCCACCAGAAGCAAAGGUUCGAAAGGUUCUUCUCUUAACAACUUUUGUUGUAUGGGUUUUAAAAGCUGUUCCUAUCAUAGUUUUCCAGGCAGAAUGAGCAGUGAUAUUUUUCUGAUUACACUGCUACCUUCCUCCAAACAAUGUCUUGUUACAUAGUUAUCAGAAAAGAAAUUUUUGUCUAUCCAAUAAUGAUGCUGCAAUCAUGCAAUAUUUUUAUUUUUCAAAGACAUCAUGGUGCCUAUCAGGAUAUAAGAAAUUUUCAUCUUCUUGUUUGACCGCAUGCACUAAGCUGUUGUGAUACAUAAGAGAGGCACAGCACUGUCAGUUAAUUCAGUGCAGCAUUUCAAUAGUGAAAGUCAGGGACUUUUGAAGAUUAGAAAAAUAUAUGGAAAGGCUCUAUAUUUAAAACUAACACCUUUUCAUUUAGGCAUGUAAAAGUAGUGUUACCCUUUUAUCUAAUUUCCUGCCUCUUUUACUAGCGAUUCAGUUGUAGCUCUUUCCUGUUAGGAUCAGGCAGUUCAGUAGUUCAGUGGACCAAAAAGUGAUGUAAUAUUUCACAAGUUUUGUUGGAAACGUAACAUAGUAGUGCUAUUGCUAACAAGAAACAUACUCAUACUAGGACUGAGCUGUACUUUAAAAUCUUAAUGAAAAAUAGCAAGUACAGCUCUGCACACUCUUGCACUUCUACAGUCCUUUGUGAUUAACAAGAGCUGUACAUGCUUACCUAAAGAUACAACUGAGUCCUGUGGUUGCGAUGAAUCCACUAAAAAGCAUCAAAUCUGUUCAAAUUAACUUAUAGGAAUAAUUUAGACUCACAUAUUUCAGUAAUGCUCUGCAUAAGAGGUCCAUAAUACUUUUUUAGGUGGUGAACAACAGAACUGGAGAUGGAUUCACCUGGAGCCCCAGCCAAAAUGCAUCAUUUUAUAGAGAUUCAAAACACAGACCUGAUCUCGAACUAAUUAAUUCUCCAUCACAAAAAUACAGCUUCCAAGUCUCAUUUCUUCCUUCAGAAAAAAUCCAAGAAGGGGAUAAUUCUUCAGAAAAUUGCAAUUCUUAUUUGUAUAAUUCAAUUUAAAUUUUAUAGUAAAAAAAAGUCUCAUCUGACACAAUUAUUAAAUCAUCAUUUGAUGAUCACUGAUGUAUGUUGGAAUCAUUCUUUAAUCCUGGGGAUUUAAAAGCUUUUAAGUUUUAUUUAUCAUGUAUCAGGACACCUAACUCGACACCAAAGACUGUGAUUGGAAUUUCACCUGCUUGGUAAUGAUAAAUUACUUUUGCAAUAAUUUUGUGGAUAGUUUCCUUUCUCUCUGUCUUAAGUUCAUCUUUAUGCUCUUUUUUCAGAUCUGCAUUUUUAUUGUUGUGGUUUUCUUUCUACUUUUUCCCCCUUUUUCUUUCUACUUUUUUACUUCAUUCGUUUGCUGGCCUUCAUUUUUGCUUAGUCAAACAUUUAUUGUGGUUUAUUUUUAGGAUACAUGUAUAUUUGGGGUGGAAUCACAACCUGAACAUUUAUAUGCUAAGUUUUUUAUUGGAGAAAUAUUUAACUGACAACUCUUCUUAUUCUUCUGAGAAACGCCAAUAACAAAUUGCAGGAUCCAGUUCAAUGAAUCUUCUACUGCUUUAACAAAGCAAAACACUGAAAGCAGGCAGAGGAAGUACAAUAGGACAAUUUUUCAAAGUACAACAGUGUCUCCUGAGGUCAAAAAUAUUGCGAAUGUUGGUGUUUGACUGUUUCACAUCUGUCAUAACCUUAUGCUGAAAUAUCCCUUAAAUGUCAAUAACAUAAUUAGCAAAAAACACGGAAUAACUAUACUGUAAAUAAUCACAUUGAGGGGAAAUAACACACUUGAAACUGGAAAUUCCUUUUUUACUUCUAGGCAGAUUUCUCAGUUUAUUUAGAUGUUAAGGAGAUCUAUUGCCCCUUAAAGCACAGUAUUAAUAGCUGGGUUAGUUUAACUGCCCUUUUCCCACACUCACAUGUUUUUGCAGACUAACACCUACCAAUACACUUUUCAAACCCUUAAAGCUCCUCUGAUUCUCAAAGUGCUCUUCUCUUUUCAUUUCUGGAUGAUGCUCACAGAGCACGAAGCGUACUGGAAUAAACACAGUUUGUGAAUGCAAGUUCCACAGGUUUUCCUGCUUUUUGAGUAUGCGUGUAGGUCCCAAAUUUGUGUUUGCUUAAAAAAAACCCACUGUGUUAAGGACUAUUUAAAGAUUUAUUAUUAUUUGUCAUGGCCAAUUAUCUUCUAAAUCUAAUAUAACUUGACAGGAUUCAAAAGAAGCCUUAUGUAGUGAGUGACUGUUUUAAGGAUAGGCAUAGGCACAUAUUUAAAGAAGUAAGGCAUGCACAUGAGCCAAAAGGCUAUACCAAUACACAGGCAGGCUCUCGUGACAUUACUGGCACCACUCGGCUCCAAUAUUUUUUUUACUUUUACCUUUGCUACAUUAAUCCAUCAUGUUUAUUUUUUUCCCAACUGUCUUCGUUGUUAGAUGUAGAACAUCUAUUAUGAAGCAUUAGUUUCCAAAAGAGAAGAUUGGGGAAGGGGGAGGUUUGGAAGGGGGUUGUUUGUGUUUUUGUUUUCUUACAACUGGCAAAACCCCAGCAGCCAUUAUCGAGAAAUUUCACAAGAAACAUUCAUAUGGGCAGGAAAUCUACUGGCAAGAAACAGUAGAUGAAAGAGUUAUGUACUGCUGAAUGAGAAUUUUGCACCUGCACAUUGCUUAAGUUGGAGAACAUGCUAUUAAUAUAAUCACAAUAGCAUAACCAGCAGGAUGCGUAGUCAUCUACUAAGAAGAUUUCAUUUUGAGACAUCAUGGAUACUUUUGGCAUUAAUGCAAAACAAGGAGCUGGAUCAAUUUCAAAUGUGUGCUAAAUGAAAAGAGAAAGAAAAAACAAAGAGUUAAACAAUCACUACCAGGAUAUCACAUUUGAAAUUAAGAUGACAAUUGAGCCCAGACCAGUCUACUGGGGGUCCAAGGACACCAGUGGGAUCAUAAGCAGAGAAGUCCAGUAGGAAGGGUCAAAGGUACCCUGCUUCAGGUAAUUCACUUGAUUAUGUUUAAUUUCUAGUUUAGUUUUGUAGAAACCAUUUUUUUUCCCUCAGGGUCAUUAAACUUACACUGGAAAAGAACUGUUCAAAAAACUCCUAUGAAACAUUUUUGGGGGUCAGGAUUAAGUAAUUCAUUGAAAUCAAAAUACUUCCAAUGCAUAUCAAAACACAUCAACAUAGUUUCAAAACAAGUGUUGUCCCAGUUUCGAAACCUGGAAACCCUGAGGUCUCUAGUUGAAAGGUAGACUACUUGGUGGGCUGCAACAACAGGCCAUCAAUCCUCUAUGCUGGCAGUCGGAGGGUUGAGCAAUGGUCUGCCAGCCAUGCAGAAGUCCUCCAGAGCCCUGCAGGCUUCCAGAAAUACUUAGCCAAAAUCCAACUGUCCCUGCAAAAAGUUUAGAUUUCAUUCAAGUGCCAAGGUCUCUCUGAAGUCUGCCAAACAACUUUGCUUUUGAGAUUGUUUCCAUCAGCUUUUCUGUGUAGAAAUGUUUGGGAUUUUUGUUUUUUCCAGAUAAAUCAUUACACCUCAAACAAACAAUUUUAUCUAUCUCAGUGAUCACCUAGAUCAUGCAAAACAGCGUAUCAUCCCUGGAUUUGUCCCUGGACCCAUGAUUCCACUUCAGGUUUCAGGCACAGAAAAGUUACAUGCAGUUCAGUCUUCCCAAGCUGACCAACACCUCUGCUACACAGUUAGUCUCCUUCUUACCAAAUUUCACCUCAAGUGAUUUUAAGCAGCCAUAGGGAGAUAACACCCAAUGCUUAUGCAGGUGAGAAGAAGACUGAGAUCUAGCCAAGGUAGUUCAGGAGGAAUUCUUGUCCUUUCUUACUGGUAUCUGAACUCUCAGGAAAGUAAGAGAAAACACAAUUGUGAAGAAAUUACUAAAAUCAACUAAAACAUUAUCCAUUAAAAGACAGUAAUAUGAAGUAUGCCACUUGCAAUGCUAUAUCUUGUAUAAGUAUCACGACAUAGCAACACAGAACAUACAAAAUCAAUCCUAUGAGCCCCACGUGUGGAUACAUUGCUGAAACUUGCACUACCCGUCUAGGCCAAAUUGUCCUAUGUGACAGACAGACCAGCCUCCAUUGAGAGUCAUGGGAGCCACCUACUCAUCUGGAAGAUCACAAUUUAAUCCACCAAAAGGCUAAAAUACCAAGCACAGCUUGUGAACUAAGGGGAGAAAAUGAAUCCCUAGAAAACGCUAAUGGUGAUCAAAGAUUUUCUACUCCUAUAGACAAAAAUGUUUUGGGGGCUGCCCUGCAGUGGUUUCUUCAUAGAUUCACUGAGCAAGAUUGUUCAAAAGUCUCCAUACUGUGUAAACCACUCCUUUCAUAUGAAGGAGAAUUUUGCUACGGUCUUUAAAGACAGCUAAAACAACAGAGCACGCAACAGAGCAGUAUGUUAGCAGCAGCAGUGUCUU